CGGGGCUUGAGGAAGGGGGAGGAGGGGGACAGAGUGAGGACGUGCAGGAGGCUCUCACCUCCUCACCCAUCUCCAGGGUGCACGGGGGCUGAGCUGACCUCUGUCCCCUCUUGCUGCCACUUGGGGGGGUCAGGCACAGAUAGUGUCCCCUGCAGCAGGAAGGGGGCUGCCCACCGGCGUCAGGUGACCCUCUCUGCACAGAGCUGGGAUGCGCUAUCCCCACGCCCAGCUGCUGAGUUGGGGAUUUCCUGCAGCAGAGAGGGGCGGCCUGGCUGCCCGGGUCUCCAGGUUAGGGAUCUAGAGCUCAGGAGGCCUCUCAGAACGUUCUUGCUCCCCGUCUUUCGUCCUUCGUCACGCACGGGGGGCCUCUGUUCCCAUGGGCACUCGAGCCUCCCUCUAUUGCCUUCUCUCUCAGCAGUUCUUUGGGGCUGGCUCUGGGGCCAUCUUGGUCCCCAUUGCUCUCUUUUGUGUCUUAGAUGGGGAAGGGUGGUGGCCAGUCCCGCCUUCCUCUCCAUCCUCCUCCUUCGCCGAGCAGCGUGUUGGUAAAUGUUUCUGGUUUACUUGGUUGAAUGUCUCCAUUGUUUAUAAUACUCUGCUCUGAGAAAUUCUCUUCAGUCGUUGUUAUUUGUGGCGUGUGCUUCAAGGUCAUCUGCUCACAACUUGAUAGUCGCAGAGACUACUCCCAAGUAUUGCCCACCGUCCUUCACAGUUUACAAGUACUUUCUGGGUUUCUCUCUUAUUUAACUCUUAGGCAUUUUCUCAUGUGGCUUUAAAAUCCGACAGCCCGUGGCUUUCCCCUCUGAUCCCAGCUCUGCUCUCUGGGCCCGUGGACCCUGCGUGCUCCCUCUGCCUGGGGACAGCCUGGCAGGGAUAGGAAGGCAGCGAUCUGAUCCCUCUGAGGCUGCUCUUCUCCACAGGGAGCAGCUCGUGCCUUGUAAGCACUCCUAAGGACACCCCCAACCCAGACAUGCUGUUCCGUCACCUCCAGCCCCUUACCUCCAGUUUGUCCACCUCCCUCUAGGACAUGGGAUCCAGCACUGGACCUGAAUUGCCUUUGACCUCCCACUUCCCGGUUACUGCCUCUAUUAAUGUAGCCUCAGAAUGAAUGAGCUUGUCCUGAGCAACGCCCGCGAAUUUUGCUGAGGCACGUCCACCAACAGUGCCAUGCUCUUCCUUGAGCCUGGCGAUGGCUCAGCCGACACAGCAGACAGCCCAGGAGCUGAUCCAGGCGCCAGACUAGGAGGACCACUUGGCCUCCUUUGAGCCUCACAUCGCCCCUGCGUGGGAGAUAGUCCAGACAAAACUCAACAGGCUGCAGUUGGGACCUGGACCCAUUUGAAGUCAGAGCCCUCUCUGGACCCCGUGCUGUAGCCUCCAACAAGUAUUCUGAAGUUGUGGGUCCACCACCCUCCUCUUUCUCCCAGUGUUCCAACCAAGGGACACUGGCCUCUGGAGCCCUGGCACAGCCAUGGCUCCCAUUCUUGAGCCACGUUCCUGGGCUGGCUGCAAGCCCCCCAGCCUGGCUUUCUGAGUGCCAGUUAUUUACUGAGUAUGUCCUGAUGCCUGAGGCAGAUCCCUGACUCAAGGAGCUCACAUGUCUCUAUUGCUAUUUCUGUGGAGGGAAUAGGGACUCUAACCCUCACAGGUGUACAUCACUUUACAGGUUACAAAGCCCAUCACCUCAAUUAAUUCUCACAGCAACCCUGGAAGGUAGGUAUUAUUGUCCCCAUUAUAGGUAAGGAAACUGAGGCACAGAGAUGUUAUGUUCAUUGGCAAGUGGUAGAGCUGGAAAUGCCCAAGUCUGUGCUCCAGGCGGCAGGAAGCUCCCUAGACCCUCACAGCUUCUUUGUGCACCUGCUCUGUGGUGCUGGGCAGCUUCUUUCCUCGAUCAAUUCCUCAUUUCCAUGGCUUUAAAAUCAGGGUUUUAGUUUUGGACUAGCUGGUUUCUAAGGGGCCUCCAGCUCUGCCCUGAGCCCAUAACACAGACAAUCACCACCACCGUGGUCAGAGGGAGGAGAGAUGACUCCAAGAGGGGACCAGCCACAGAGGAAACGGGUUUCUGAACAGGGUCUUUAUGGAAGCCUAGAAUUUGGGUUAGGCAGAAAGUCAUUCUAGGAGCGGGGACUGCAGGAGCAAACGCAGGUUGGCGGUGGCCCAUUGUAAGUUAAACUGACAAAGAAUCUGAGGCCAGAGAGGUGAAGUGCCUUGUCCCAGGUCCCAUAGUCGGUUGUGGUGGAGUCAGCAUUCGGGCCCAAGUCAGGCUGUGGUUCCACCCUGUCUGCACACUAGAACCCAACCCUACCCAUGCUGGGUAGGAAUAGUGAUGCUCAGGACUCUUCUGCAGAGAUUCUGAUGUAAAUGAUGUGGAUCCGUCUGCGCAGGACUGUGGUUGGAGCCUGUAGCUCCUGGGCACGGGUAUCCUCAGGGGCCACUCUGUGGGUGUGGCCACGUUCCUGAGCCAGCACCCUGUGCCUCAGACUUAAUGUCACCUGUGGCAAGCAGGUUGGUAUGUGCCCACCUGUGGCUGGGUUCACGUGAUGCUAGUGGGGUUACUUCUGCCCCAGCACUAAAUCCUGGCUACCUUAGGGAUCCCCACGCAGUUACCUCAACCCCUCUGAGUUUUGCAUCCCGUCCAUAAAUUUGAUUGUGUACAUUAUUCAGGUAUUUGGUGAUGUUAAGGCAUCAUCAUUACUUUUUGCUUGUGUUAAUGUAUUGGGAAUAUGUUUUCAAAGAGUUCUUAUCUUUUUUUUGAGAUUUAAUUUUUAAGAAUUUUCUUGGAACCAUAAGUCUCUAGAUAGUAACUUCCUUUUUCUUCUGGACUAAUUUAUCAGUACACUGUUUAGUCGCACGUAAGCAAAACAACAUAAAUACAUUACAACUUUUGACAAAUAAUUAUUAAACAAAAAAAAGUAAAAUGGAAAUGCAUCAAAGAGUUCUUAUCUUUUAGGGAUCUAUACUGAAAUAUUUAUGAAUGAAAUGAUAUAAUACAUGAGAUUUGCUUCCAAAUGAUCCGGGUGGGGAGGGGUGGGCGAGAGUUGAUGAAACAUGAGUUGAUAGCAGUUGACACUGACUGACGACCAGGUAGAAGUUUAUACUAUUCUAAUUUUGCAUAUGUUUGACAUUUCCAUGACAAACGAGGACUUAACUUAAACACUUGGUAGUGCAUCAAAUGGGAAAAUAUACAUCAAGAUGGAAGAUAAAAGCAAAACCAGGGCCAGCGCGAGUUGUGGCCACCCAGAGUCCCGGAUCCGGAGGACAGUGGGAUCUGGCGAGCUGUGCGCGUUCAGCACCGCGGACAGCGGCCCGCGGGCUCUUCCCAGGCCGCCCGAGCAUCGCAGGGAUCUCAGAGCGCAGAGGCUUUCCCUCCGAUUACUGAAAAGAGUCUCGUCAGGACAGAAGGCUACCCAGCCUCUCACACGCCUCCAGAGAUGGGCCUUCACUUCCCACGGGGAAGACUAGUUCUUGGUGGACACUUUUGGCUCAUAAGAAAAUUUUGUUUUCUGCUCUUUAAGGAUAGCUUUGUCAAAAAUCAAUUCAUCAUAUAUGUGUGUGUCUAUCUCUGGGCUGUCUAUCCGGUUCCACUUAUCUAUCUGUCUAUGCUUAUGCCAAUCCCACACUCUCUUGGUUUAUAGCUUUAAGGUAAAUAGCUUUAUAUAGUAAGUCUUGAAAUCAGGUAGUGUGAGCCCUCCAACUUUGCUAUUCUUUUCCAAAAUUGUUUUGACUAUUCUAGGUUCUUUGCUUUUCCAUAUAGAUUUUAGAACUAGCUUGUUAGUUUCUAUGAAAGAGCCUGCUGAGAUUUUGCUUAGGUUUGCAUAGGCUCUAUAGAUAAGGAGGAGAACAGGCCUCUUAACGAUGUUGAGUCUUCCAAUCCAUGAGCAGGGUGUGUGUCUCCAUUUCUUUAAUUUCUCUCAUCAAUGUUUUGUAGCUUUUGUUAUACAAAUCUUGAACCAUAUUUUCUCAGAUUUAUUCCUAAGCAAUUAAUGCUUUUUGAUGCUAUUGCAAGGGGUAUUUUAAAAAUUCCAAUUUCCAGUUGUUUGUUGCUAGUAUGUAGAAAUACAAUUGAUUUUUGUUUGUGGGUCUUGUGUCCUGUGAUCUUGUUAAAUUCACUUAUCAAUUCUAGUAGCUUAUUUUUGUAGAGUUGUCAGGAUUUUCUAUGUUAACAGACGUUUUUCUUUAGAUUUUUAUUCUGAAAAAAUUUAAACCUAUAGAAAAGCUCCAAGAAGUAAUACAACUUUGAUAGGCAGAAUAACACGCCCUCUCGCCCCCAAAAGAUAUCCACGUCCUAAUUCCCAGAACCGGUGAAUAUGUUGCUACAUGUCAAAGGGAAUCAAAGUUGCAGAUGGAAUUAAGGUUGCUAAUCUGCUGACCUUCAAAUGGAUUAUCCUGGGUUACUGGGUGAGCCCAAUAUAAUCACAAGGGUCCUUAAAAGUGGAAGAGGGAGGCAGAAGAAGAGUCAGUAUCAGAGUCACAUGAUGUGAGAAAGCGGCCAUCACUGACUUUGAAGAUGGAGGAAGGGGCCGAGGACUGUGGGCGGCUCUAGAGGCUGGAGAAGGCGAGGAGAUGGAGUCAUCCCUGGGCCUCCAGAAUGCAGCUUUGCUGACAUCUUGACUUCAGCAUAGUGACACCCGCAUUAGACGUCUG
rnacentral:lncRNA from 1 species